rnacentral:piRNA from 1 species
UCGAAUUUGAAGGUAUCCUAA